GAUUUUAUGAAAAGAGACGAGAGACGGGAAAGGAAGAAUCUGUCCCAGAAGUGCAUCACUCUGGCCUAAUGAGCAGCAAACAUAGUACCAACUGCAAAACCUGCAAAAAGCCAAAGUUAACUGUCACGGACUGCAUUGCACACAACACCAAAUCCACAUUGUGCAAGACUCACGGUUAAAACAGCUACAAUUCCAACCAAAUGCACCAUAAAUAU